GUUGCUGUGUGUUUGGGACGUGAAAGUGAUGGGCUACGCUUGAUAUGAAGUCAGGUCCGUAACUGAAGGAAGUAUACCCUAGGCUUCUCGCGAUCGUCUCCUUCUUCCUUCUACGAGACUUGUCAUCUUCAUCUGUAUCAUCUCUACCACUGAAACGCUUCCGAUUAUUUCUUCUUUAUGUUUAAUCUCAAUUAGAUAUGUUCUAUAAUAAGACAUGUUCGGCGUUUCUGAUUUUAAAGUUUCAUUACUCUCUCUUCUCUGCUGUAGCAGUUGUCUGCCGUAGCAGUUGUCCGCCUCCUUAGUUUUGGGAAUCGGUGGCGAGCUCAGAGCAGACGCUCAUGAAAUCCACCGUCAAUGUCCACCAUCUGAAUGCAUUCAACAUCUUUUCAAAGCGGGUUCGAUGUACUCUUAUCACCGGAUUUGAUAUUACUCGGAGCCAUCUUAGCAAGAACGGGGAAAGUAAACAACAGAGUUUGGAUGGUCUGAUCAAAGAAAUUUGUAGGUAAAAUUUUGAAUGGAGAGCAGAUGAGAUAUCAUCUUCUUCGAUUUCGAUUUCGUGUAACAAGCAGAUGAGGGUGAAAGAAGAAGUUGUAGAAGGAACAAUGCAUCUUCUGUCCCUGGUGAUCAUUGAGGCUGGAAGAAAGAGCUUUAAGAAGCAAAUUGUGGGGUUGCAGGACUCAAGCUUGCUGUUGAUGAUGCCGCUACCAUUACUCCCUCUGAUCUUGGCUGCAAAAAGAUAACAAUGCAUCUGGAUGGAGGGAAGUUUCAAGAGACACACAGAUAAGAGAAUCAUGCCGUCAAGACCAUCCAAGAGAUAUAUGGCACAAUAAGUUUAUAAGCAAGUCUAAGAAUUUAUAUCUAAAGAUGAUGAUUCUGAUUUCUGAAACACACAGAGAAGAUGUUAUCAAACUUAUCGUGCCAUAUAAGGAACUUUCACUGAGAAUCAGACCAGCUAGGUAACAUGCAAUUGAAGAAGCUAUGAUCAAAUCUGAAAGUUCAAGCUUUACAAUUGUAGAAAGUUCAAGCUUUACCAUUGUAGAGAACUUGGGUGGUAUGAUCCAAACAGAAACUUAUUGCUCAAA